rnacentral:rRNA from 1 species
UACGUAGGGUCCGAGCGUUGUCCGGAGUUACUGGGCGUAAAGCGCGCGCAGGCGGCGGUGCUGGCCCGGCGUGAAAGCCCCCGGCUCAACCGGGGAGGGUCGUCGGGGACCGCACCGCUUGAGGGCGGUAGGGGCUGGUAGAAUGCCUGGUGUAGUGGUGAAAUGCGUAGAGAUCAGGCGGAACACCCGUGGCGAAGGCGGCCAGCUGGGCCGUCCCUGACGCUGAGGCGCGAAGGCGUGGGGAGCGAACGGGG